rnacentral:rRNA from 1 species
GCGGCGGCUUUUACACGGCCGCGGUAUCGUAACCGCGCGAACGCCGAAUAAUCACUUGUUCUUUAAAUGGGGACUCGUAUCAACGGCAUCACGAGGGUUUUACUGUCUCCUCUUUUUGAUCAGUGAAAUUGAUCUUCCCGUGAAGAAGCGGGAAUAUUUUUAUAAGACGAGAAGACCCCAUGGAGCUUUAAACCAAAUAACAACUUAACUACUUAUCCCACAAUAAAUUUAAGCCCUGUUAUAAGGUUUUUGGUUGGGGUGACCGCGGAGUAAAGCACAUCCUCCACGACGGAAAGAACAUAAUCUUUAUUUAAGAACCACACUUCUAGAAAUUAGUAUACUAACGUUUACUGACCCGACAAUCGAUCAACGGACCAAGUUACCCUGGGGAUAACAGCGCAAUCUACUUCAAGAGCUCAUAUCGACAAGUAGGCUUACGACCUCGAUGUUGGAUCAAGGUAUCCCGGUGGUGCAGCCGCUACCGA